CCAAUAGCGUAUAUUAAAGUUGUUGCAGUUAAAAAGCUCGUAGUUGAAUUUCGAGAUCAAUUUGUCGGUCGUGCCUCGGUACGUACUGGCGUUAUUGAUUUCUCCCUUCUGAAGAACCGCGAUGUCAUUAAUUUGGUGUCGUGGGGAAUCAGGACUGUUACUUUGAAAAAAUUAGAGUGUUUAAAGCAGGCGCACGCUUGAAUACAUUAGCAUGGAAUAAUGAAAUAGGACGUUUGAUUCUAUUUUGUUGGUUUCUUGGAUCGACGUAAUGAUUAAUAGGGAUGGUUGGGGGCAUUAGUAUUCAAUUGUCAGAGGUGAAAUUCUUGGAUUUAUUGAAGACUAACUACUGCGAAAGCAUUUGCCAAGGAUGUUUUCAUUAAUCAAGAACGAAAGUUAGGGGAUCGAAGACGAUCAGAUACCGUCGUAGUCUUAACCAUAAACUAUGCCGACUAGGGAUCGGAUGAUGUUAAUUUUUUAAUGACUCAUUCGGCGCCUUACG
rnacentral:rRNA from 1 species